rnacentral:rRNA from 1 species
CCUACGGGAGGCAGCAGUGGGGAAUAUUGGGCAAUGGGCGCAAGCCUGACCCAGCAACGCCGCGUGAAGGAAGAAGGCUUUCGGGUUGUAAACUUCUUUUCUGAGGGACGAAGAAAGUGACGGUACCUCAGGAAUAAGCCACGGCUAACUACGUGCCAGCAGCCGCGGUAAUACGUAGGUGGCAAGCGUUAUCCGGAUUUAUUGGGUGUACAGGGCGUGUAGGCGGGAAGGCAAGUCAGAUGUGAAAACUCAGGGCUCAACCUCGGACCUGCAUCUGAAACUGUUUUUCUUGAGUGCUGGAGAGGCAAUCGGAAUUCCGGGUGUAGCGGUGAAAUGCGGAGAUAUACGGAGGAACACCAGUGGCGAAGGCGGAUUGCUAGACAGUAACUGACGCUGAGGCGCGAAAGCGUGGGGAGCAAACAGGAUUAGAUACCCGGGUAGUC